GUCUAUGGCCAUCCUACCCUGAGCUCACCCAAUCUACUCUGGUCUCAGAAGCUAAGCAAGGCCAGGCCUGGUUAGUGCUUGGAUGGGAGAUAGCUGCAAGAGGGCGUUUACU
rnacentral:rRNA from 1 species